rnacentral:rRNA from 1 species
CAUGCAAGUCGAACGGUAACAGGACUAGCUUGCUAGUCGCUGACGAGUGGCGGACGGGUGAGUAACGCGUAGGAAUCUACCUUGUAGUGGGGGAUAACCCGGGGAAACUCGGGCUAAUACCGCAUAACCUCUAAGGAGUAAAGUGGGGGACCUUCGGGCCUCAUGCUAUAAGAUGAGCCUGCGUCGGAUUAGCUUGUUGGUGGGGUAAAGGCCUACCAAGGCAACGAUCCGUAGCUGGUCUGAGGGGACGAUCAGCCACACUGGGACUGAGACACGGCCCAGACUCCUACGGGAGGCAGCAGUGGGGAAUAUUGGACAAUGGGCGAAAGCCUGAUCCAGCGAUGCCGCGUGUGUGAAGAAGGCCUUCGGGUUGUAAAGCACUUUCAGUGGGGAAGAAAAUCUUAAGGAUAAUACUCUUAAGAAUUGACGUUACCUACAGAAGAAGCACUGGCUAACUCUGUGCCAGCAGCCGCGGUAAUACAGAGAGUGCAAGCGCUAAUCGGAAUUACUGGGCGUAAAGCGCACGUAGGUGGAUGUUUAAGUCGGAUGUGAAAGCCCUGGGCUUAACCUAGGAACUGCAUCCGAUACUACUCAUCUAGAGUAUGGUAGAGGGAAGUGGAAUUUCCGGUGUAGCGGUGAAAUGCGUAGAUAUCGGAAGGAACACCAGUGGCGAAGGCGGCUUCCUGGACCAAUACUGACACUCAGGUGCGAAAGCGUGGGGAGCAAACAGGAUUAGAGACCCUGGUAGUCCACGCAGUCAACGAUGAGAACUAGCUGUUGGAAAGUUUUUACUUUUUAGUAGCGAAGCUAACGCGUUAAGUUCUCCGCCUGGGGAGUACGGCCGCAAGGC